rnacentral:rRNA from 1 species
CCUACGGGAGGCAGCAGUGGGGAAUAUUGCACAAUGGGCGAAAGCCUGAUGCAGCAACGCCGCGUGCGGGAAGAAGGCCCUAGGGUUGUAAACCGCUUUCAGCAGGGAAGAAAAUGACGGUACCUGCAGAAGAAGGUGCGGCCAACUACGUGCCAGCAGCCGCGGUGACACGUAGGCACCAAGCGUUGUCCGGAUUUAUUGGGCGUAAAGAGCUCGUAGGCGGUUCAGUAAGUCGGGUGUGAAAACUCUGGGCUCAACCCAGAGACGCCACCCGAUACUGCUGUGACUCGAGUGCGGUAGGGGAGCGGGGAAUUCCUAGUGUAGCGGUGAAAUGCGCAGAUAUUAGGAGGAACACCAGUGGCGAAGGCGCCGCUCUGGGCCGUAACUGACGCUGAGGAGCGAAAGCGUGGGUAGCAAACAGGAUUAGAUACCCUGGUAGUCCACGCCGUAAACGUUGGGCACUAGGUGUGGGUCUCAACCAACGAGAUCCGCGCCGUCGCUAACGCAUUAAGUGCCCCGCCUGGGGAGUACGGCCGCAAGGCUAAAACUCAAAGGAAUUGACGG